UACGUAGGUGGCGAGCGUUAUCCGGAUUUACUGGGUGUAAAGGGUGCGUAGGCGGCCGAGUAAGUCAGCGGUGAAAUUUUGCAGCUUAACUGUAACAGUGCCGUUGAUACUGCAUGGCUAGGAUUUGGUUGCUGUGGGUGGAAUGUGUGGUGUAGCGGUGAAAUGCUUAGAUAUCACACAGAAUAUCGAUUGCGAAGGCAGCUCACAAAGCCAAGAUUGACGCUGAGGCACGAAAGUGUGGGGAUCGAACA
rnacentral:rRNA from 1 species